rnacentral:rRNA from 1 species
CUCAGUACCGCUAGACGAUAAUGCAGUCGAGCGAACAGAAGGGAGCUUGCUCCCGGAUGUUAGCGGCGGACGGGUGAGUAACACGUGGGUAACCUGCCUGUAAGACUGGGAUAACUCCGGGAAACCGGAGCUAAUACCGGAUAGUUCCUUGAACCGCAUGGUUCAAGGAUGAAAGACGGUUUCGGCUGUCACUUACAGAUGGACCCGCGGCGCAUUAGCUAGUUGGUGGGGUAAUGGCUCACCAAGGCGACGAUGCGUAGCCGACCUGAGAGGGUGAUCGGCCACACUGGGACUGAGACACGGCCCAGACUCCUACGGGAGGCAGCAGUAGGGAAUCUUCCGCAAUGGACGAAAGUCUGACGGAGCAACGCCGCGUGAGUGAUGAAGGUUUUCGGAUCGUAAAGCUCUGUUGUUAGGGAAGAACAAGUGCGAGAGUAACUGCUCGCACCUUGACGGUACCUAACCAGAAAGCCACGGCUAACUACGUGCCAGCAGCCGCGGUAAUACGUAGGUGGCAAGCGUUGUCCGGAAUUAUUGGGCGUAAAGGGCUCGCAGGCGGUUUCUUAAGUCUGAUGUGAAAGCCCCCGGCUCAACCGGGGAGGGUCAUUGGAAACUGGGAAACUUGAGUGCAGAAGAGGAGAGUGGAAUUCCACGUGUAGCGGUGAAAUGCGUAGAGAUGUGGAGGAACACCAGUGGCGAAGGCGACUCUCUGGUCUGUAACUGACGCUGAGGAGCGAAAGCGUGGGGAGCGAACAGGAUUAGAUACCCUGGUAGUCCACGCCGUAAACGAUGAGUGCUAAGUGUUAGGGGGUUUCCGCCCCUUAGUGCUGCAGCUAACGCAUUAAGCACUCCGCCUGGGGAGUACGGUCGCAAGACUGAAACUCAAAGGAAUUGACGGGGGCCCGCACAAGCGGUGGAGCAUGUGGUUUAAUUCGAAGCAACGCGAAGAACCUUACCAGGUCUUGACAUCCUCUGACAACCCUAGAGAUAGGGCUUUCCCUUCGGGGACAGAGUGACAGGUGGUGCAUGGUUGUCGUCAGCUCGUGUCGUGAGAUGUUGGGUUAAGUCCCGCAACGAGCGCAACCCUUGAUCUUAGUUGCCAGCAUUCAGUUGGGCACUCUAAGGUGACUGCCGGUGACAAACCGGAGGGAAAGGUGGGGGAUGACGUCAAAUCAUCAUGCCCCUUAUGACCGGGGCUACACACGUGCUACAAUGGAACAGAACAAAGGGCUGCGAAAACCGCAAGGUUUAGCCAAUCCCAUAAAUCUGGUUCCCAGUUUCGGAUCCCAGUCCUGCAACUCCAACUGGCGUGAAACUUGGAAUCCCUUAUUAACCCCGGAAUCACCCUGCCCCGGGUGGAAC